rnacentral:rRNA from 1 species
GAUGAACGCUGGCGGCGUGCCUAAUACAUGCAAGUCGAGCGAACAGAUAAGGAGCUUGCUCCUUUGACGUUAGCGGCGGACGGGUGAGUAACACGUGGAUAACCUACCUAUAAGACUGGGAUAACUUCGGGAAACCGGAGCUAAUACCGGAUAACAUAUUGAACCGCAUGGUUCAAUAGUGAAAGGCGGCUUUGCUGUCACUUAUAGAUGGAUCCGCGCCGUAUUAGCUAGUUGGUAAGGUAACGGCUUACCAAGGCAACGAUACGUAGCCGACCUGAGAGGGUGAUCGGCCACACUGGAACUGAGACACGGUCCAGACUCCUACGGGAGGCAGCAGUAGGGAAUCUUCCGCAAUGGGCGAAAGCCUGACGGAGCAACGCCGCGUGAGUGAUGAAGGUCUUCGGAUCGUAAAACUCUGUUAUCAGGGAAGAACAAAUGUGUAAGUAACUGUGCACAUCUUGACGGUACCUAAUCAGAAAGCCACGGCUAACUACGUG